rnacentral:rRNA from 1 species
UUCCUACGGGAGGCUGCAGUGGGGAAUAUUGGGCAAUGGGCGCAAGCCUGACCCAGCCAUGCCGCGUGAGUGACGACGGCCUUAGGGUUGUAAAGCUCUUUUGGCGGGGACGAUAAUGACGGUACCCGCAGAAUAAGCCCCGGCUAACUUCGUGCCAGCAGCCGCGGUAAUACGAAGGGGGCUAGCGUUGUUCGGAAUCACUGGGCGUAAAGCGCACGUAGGCGGACUUUCAAGUCAGGGGUGAAAUCCCGGGGCUCAACCUCGGAACUGCCUUUGAUACUGUUGGUCUCGAGUCCGGAAGAGGUGGGUGGAAUUCCUAGUGUAGAGGUGAAAUUCGUAGAUAUUAGGAAGAACACCGGUGGCGAAGGCGGCCCACUGGUCCGGUACUGACGCUGAGGUGCGAAAGCGUGGGGAGCAAACAGGAUUAGAUACCCUUGUAGUC